GCUGGCGGCGUGCUUAACACAUGCAAGUCGAGCGGUAAGGCCCUUCGGGGUACACGAGCGGCGAACGGGUGAGUAACACGUGAGCAACCUGCCCCUGACUCCGGGAUAAGCCGGGGAAACCCGGUCUAAUACCGGAUGGGACGCCUCGUCGCAUGGCGGGGUGUGGAAAGGUGUCUUUCCGGUCAGGGAGGGGCUCGCGGCCUAUCAGCUUGUUGGUGGGGUGAAGGCCUACCAAGGCGAUUACGGGUAGCCGGCCUGAGAGGGCGACCGGCCACACUGGGACUGAGACACGGCCCAGACUCCUACGGGAGGCAGCAGUGGGGAAUAUUGCGCAAUGGGCGGAAGCCUGACGCAGCGACGCCGCGUGGGGGAUGACGGCCUUCGGGUUGUAAACCUCUUUUACCACCGACGCAGGCCCGCGCUUCUGUGCGGGUUGACGGUAGGUGGGGAAUAAGGACCGGCCAACUACGUGCCAGCAGCCGCGGUAAUACGUAGGGUCCGAGCGUUGUCCGGAAUUAUUGGGCGUAAAGAGCUCGUAGGUGGCGUGUCGCGUCUGCUGUGUAAGUCCGGGGCUUAACUCCGGUUUUGCAGUGGAUACGGGCAUGCUAGAGGUAGGCAGGGGAGACUGGAAUUCCUGGUGUAGCGGUGAAAUGCGCAGAUAUCAGGAGGAACACCGGUGGCGAAGGCGGGUCUCUGGGCCUUACCUGACGCUGAGGAGCGAAAGCGUGGGGAGCGAACAGGAUUAGAUAC
rnacentral:rRNA from 3 species